GACGUAGGUUGCGAGCGUUAUUCGGAUUCACUCGGCGUAAAGCGUGUGUAGGCGGAUGCCUAAGUCUGACGUGAAAUCUCCCGGCUUAACUGGGAGGGGUCGUUAGAUACUGGGCGUCUUGAGUUGGGUAGGGGGAACCGGAAUUCCAGGUGUAGCGGUGAAAUGCGCAGAUAUCUGGAGGAACACCGGCGGCGAAGGCGGGUUCCUGGGCCUUAACUGACGCUGAGACACGAAAGCUAGGGGAGCAAACAGG
rnacentral:rRNA from 1 species